GAGUAGCAAUACUUAGUGGCAGACGGGUGAGUAACAUGUAGGUAUCUUCCCUUUGGUGAGGAAUAACACGAGGAAACUUGUGCUAAUACCUCAUAAGUCUUUACGGAGAAAGCUUUAUGCGCCAAUGGAUGAGCCUGCACUUGAUUAGUUUGUUGGUGGGGUAAUGGCCUACCAAGACUUUGAUCAAUAGCUGAUUUGAGAGGAUGAUCAGCCACAUUGGGACUGAGACACGGCCCAAACUCCUACGGGAGGCAGCAGUAGGGAAUCUUGCACAAUGGAGGAAACUCUGAUGCAGCGAUGCCGCGUGAGUGAAGAAGGCCUUUGGGUUGUAAAGCUCUUUCGUCGGGGAAGAAAAUGACUGUACCCGAAUAAGAAGGUCCGGCUAACUUCGUGCCAGCAGCCGCGGUAAUACGAAGGGACCUAGCGUAGUUCGGAAUUACUGGGCUUAAAGAGUUCGUAGGUGGUUAAAAAAGUUGGUGGUGAAAUCCCAGAGCUUAACUCUGGAACUGCCAUCAAAACUUUUUAGCUAGAGUAUGAUAGAGGAAAGCAGAAUUUCUAGUGUAGAGGUGAAAUUCGUAGAUAUUAGAAAGAAUACCAAUUGCGAAGGCAGCUUUCUGGAUCAUUACUGACACUGAGGAACGAAAGCAUGGGUAGCGAAGAGGAUUAGAUACCCUCGUAGUCCAUGCCGUAAACGAUGUGUGUUAGACGUUGGAAAUUUAUUUUCAGUGUCGCAGCGAAAGCAAUAAACACACCGCCUGGGGAGUACGACCGCAAGGUUAAAACUCAAAUGAAUUGACGGGGACCCGCACAAGUAGUGG
rnacentral:rRNA from 1 species